rnacentral:rRNA from 1 species
UACGGAGGGUGCAAGCGUUGUUCGGAAUUAUUGGGCGUAAAGCGCGCGCAGGCGGUCUGGAAAGUCUAUGGGUGAAAUACCGGGGCUCAACCCCGUGUAUGCCCAGGAUACUGCCAGACUGGAGACACGUAGAGGCAAGCGGAAUUUCGGGUGUAGCGGUGGAAUGCGUAGAUAUCCGAAAGAACACCGGAGGCGAAGGCGGCUUGCUGGGCGUGAUCUGACGCUGAGGCGCGAAAGCGUGGGGAGCGAACAGG